rnacentral:rRNA from 1 species
CCUACGGGGGACAGCAGUGGGGAAUAUUGGGCAAUGGGCGCAAGCCUGACCCAGCAACGCCGCGUGAAGGAAGAAGGCUUUCGGGUUGUAAACUUCUUUUAAGAGGGAAGAGCAGAAGACGGUACCUCUUGAAUAAGCCACGGCUAACUACGUGCCAGCAGCCGCGGUAAUACGUAGGUGGCAAGCGUUGUCCGGAUUUACUGGGUGUAAAGGGCGUGUAGCCGGGCUGACAAGUCAGAUGUGAAAUCCGGGGGCUCAACCCCCGAACUGCAUUUGAAACUGUUGGUCUUGAGUAUCGGAGAGGCAGGCGGAAUUCCUAGUGUAGCGGUGAAAUGCGUAGAUAAUAGGAGGAACACCAGGGGGGAAGGCGGCCUGCUGGACGACAACUGGAGGUGAGGCGCGAAAGCGUGGGGAGCAAACAGGAAUAGAUACCCUUGUAGUC